GACGAACGCUGGCGGCGUGCUUAACACAUGCAAGUCGAACGGAAAGGCCCUGCUUUUGUGGGGUGCCCGAGUGGCGAACGGGUGAGUAACACGUGAGUAACCUGCCCUUGACUUUGGGAUAACUUCAGGAAACUGGGGCUAAUACCGGAUAGGAGCUCCUGCUGCAUGGUGGGGGUUGGAAAGUUUCGGCGGUUGGGGAUGGACUCGCGGCUUAUCAGCUUGUUGGUGGGGUAGUGGCUUACCAAGGCUUUGACAGGUAGCCGGCCUGAGAGGGUGACCGGCCACAUUGGGACUGAGAUACGGCCCAGACUCCUACGGGAGGCAGCAGUGGGGAAUAUUGCACAAUGGGCGGAAGCCUGAUGCAGCAACGCCGCGUGCGGGAUGACGGCCUUCGGGUUGUAAACCGCUUUCGCCUGUGACGAAGCGUGAGUGACGGUAAUGGGUAAAGAAGCACCGGCUAACUACGUG
rnacentral:rRNA from 1 species